rnacentral:rRNA from 1 species
CGGGUGAGUAAUGUCUGGGAAACUGCCUGAUGGAGGGGGAUAACUACUGGAAACGGUAGCUAAUACCGCAUAACGUCGCAAGACCAAAGAGGGGGACCUUCGGGCCUCUUGCCAUCGGAUGUGCCCAGAUGAGAUUAGCUAGUAGGUGGGGUAACGGCUCACCUAGGCGACGAUCCCUAGCUGGUCUGAGAGGAUGACCAGCCACACUGGAACUGAGACACGGUCCAG